AACAAAAAAGCAACAACUGCAUUCAAUUUCGACUUGAAAAUAUGGAUCAACUCCUUUUGUUA
rnacentral:tRNA from 1 species